rnacentral:rRNA from 1 species
AGGACGAACGCUGGCGGCGCGCUUAACACAUGCAAGUCGAGCGAGAACCGGUCCUUCGGGACUGGGGACAGCGGCGAACGGGUGAGUAACACGUGGGUAAUCAACCCCUGGCACCGGGAUAGCCCGAGGAAACUCGGAUUAAUACCGGAUGGCCCAACAGCUCUUCGGGGCGGUUGGAAAAGGUAGCUUCGGCCUCCGGCCAAGGACGAGCCCGCGGCGGAUUAGCUUGUUGGUGGGGUAAUGGCCUACCAAGGCGACGAUCCGUAGCUGGUCUGAGAGGACGAUCAGCCACACUGGGACUGAGACACGGCCCAGACUCCUACGGGAGGCAGCAGUGGGGAAUCUUGCACAAUGGGCGAAAGCCUGAUGCAGCGACGCCGCGUGAGGGAAGAAGGCUUUCGGGUUGUAAACCUCUUUCAGGAGGGACGAAGCUCCUCGGGUUAAUAGCCCAGAGGGUGACGGUACCUUCAGAAGAAGCCCCGGCUAACUACGCGCCAGCAGCCGCGGU